rnacentral:lncRNA from 1 species
CGAAAUAAUCACGGGAACACACCCAUAGAAAAUAGCCUCCACUACCCUUGGACUAUUGACCUCAUACCCUUUAGCACAUAUACAAAACUUGCUAGUUUUCAUGUAUUCGAUAUAGUUUUUAUUGUUUUUGGAUUUUGGGAGUUUUUUGAAGAUUUUAAUUUCAGGAUCUUUGUUUUCCCAGUGGUGUAGGAGAAUCGGGCGGAGGUCUCCGUGCAUUCGGCCGGCGAAAAAGGCGAGGGUUGACCGUUUUGAAGGGGGUUGACCACCGAAUUGUUUCAAUGGAUUUUUUGAUGAUUGAAUCGUUGUUUCAGGUAAUGCAACGUCUUUUCCUAAUUCGAAUCCUUCGUUUUUGACAUCGGAAUUGCACAUUGCGCGAAUGCAAUUGUUCAUGUAUUUCUUUGUUUCAGAUGGGGCCUUAAAUAUCAUAAAAAUGUAAGCGAUUGUGUUAAAAGGGCAUUAUGAUAUCAAGGAAAGAGGAAUGGAAUGAGAAUUUCAUAGCUUAUGCUUACCCAAUCGUGACAUGCAACAAGGAAAUGAUCAGAUCCAGAAGUUCUAUUCCAGAAACUGUAUCUUCCAGAAAUUAAAUCAAGGUAUUUCUUCAAAUACUGAAUUAAGUUUUUGUGAGUAUGAGAAUCAACAACGUAUAAUUUUUCUUCCAACAUUCUUGAGCUAAAAGGUAAGUAGAAAAGAUGAGCUUCUUUUGGUUUUUUAGUGACGAAAUGUUUGCUUGCUUUCAUGUGUUUCAUAAACCAUCCUUCAGAUGCGUAUAUUCCUUUUAGCACUGCUUGUGGUUGAUGAAAUAUAGGCUUUUCUCCCUCCUUGUAUAUGUAUACCUUGAGUGUUUUUUCCAUUAAUUCAUAGCUCCUGAAUUUAAUAUUAAUAAUAAUAAUAAUAUGAUAAUUGUAAUAAUGCAUGUGCACUUGUUUUUUAUUCAAUGGAUGAAGUGUUAUAUGGGUAAUGAACUAAUGAUGUCUNNNNNNNNNNNNNNNNNNNNNNNNNNNNNNNNNNNNNNNNNNNNNNNNNNNNNNNNNNNNNNNNNNNNNNNNNNNNNNNNNNNNNNNNNNNNNNNUAGAUAUGACAAACAUAGAUAAUAGACUACAAAUCAAACCUUGAAACAUUAACAUUAAGGGAAAUGGAAAAAAUAAAUGACCGUUUUACCCUUAGAUUAAAAAUGAUGUGAUUUUUGGGUUUUGUAAAUUUUGGCUUGUGUGUACCUUUUAAAUGACCAUUUUACCCUUAUAUUAAGAAAUGACAAAAAUAAAUGACCAUUUUACACUUCGAUUAAAAAUUAAGUUGUAAAUUUUGGUGUUUUGUAAUUUUUGGGUUGUGUACCUUCUAAAUGACCAUUUUACCCUUAUAUUAAGAAAUUAAAGAUAUAAACAAGACUACAACUCAAACCUUGAAACAAUAACAUAAAGGGAAAUGGCAAAAAUAAAUGACCAUUUUACCCUUAUAUUAAGAAAUGACAAAAGUAGAUGGCCAUUUUACCCUUGGAUUAAAAACUUAGUUGUAAGUUAUGGGUUGUGUGUACCUUUUAAACCUUGAAACAUUAACAUAAAGAGAAGGAUCAAGUGUGAGAUCAUUUUCAAUGAAAGGAGCAUUCUCGAUCUGAAAUUUUGCAUCUAAUAAUUCUUGAUCAACUGCUGAAGACCAUCUUGGUUUCUAUAAAAACACAAAAAGACACCAUUUUUAAAAGCAACAAAUUCAUAUGAUUAUAAUUACAAGUUAAGAAAUAAAAAAUUCAAACCAUUGAACGAAAUGAAGCACGAUUAUGACCUAACAUCUCACGCAUCUCUGAAAUUGUCACUACUUCCCCCAUUGUUCCAUGAUCAUUACUUCCGUUAACUUGAGGACCUUCAUUUGCAGAUGAUGAUUUAUCAAAAUCAUGGAAAGAUUUUGAUGUAUCUAUGUCUAUUUUAGGAUCACUUUGUGUUGUAGUAUUCAAUGUUGUUGGUGAAGAUGGUGAAAUUGAUGGUGGAAGAAGAAUUGAAGGUAUACUAACAGGCUUUGUGUAAUUAGAUCCAUGAAAAUGAGUGAUGUUUUUAACAAUUUGAGGGAUUUGAGAUGAAUCUUUAGGUGGGAAGCUUUCAUUUUUGAGUUUUUGAGGACUGUUUGCAGAGAAUAAAGAUGAUAUAACAUCACCAUAUGGAAACUCUAAAUACUGGAACAUCAUGAAAACAGCAAAUACCACUGCUACAAGGUACACCAGUCUCUUGGUUUCCAUU